rnacentral:rRNA from 1 species
UACGUAGGGACCAAGCGUUGUUCGGAUUUACUGGGCGUAAAGGGCGCGUAGGCGGCGUGGUAAGUCAGCUGUGAAAUCUCCGAGCUUAACUCGGAACGGUCAGCUGAUACUGCUGUGCUAGAGUACAGAAAGGGCAAUCGGAAUUCCUGGUGUAGCGGUGAAAUGCGCAGAUAUCAGGAGGAACACCGGUGGCGAAGGCGGGUCUCUGGGCCGAUACUGACGCUGAGGAGCGAAAGCGUGGGGAGCGAACAGG